GGAUAUGAGAGCGAUCUGGCUGAGACGUCUGUUACCCUAUUGAUUGCCAGGGUUGAUUCGGCCACCUGGCUAGCUAGGUGUGUGUGCUCUUCUUCUCUCACCACUUUAUGUAGGUCCAUCAAUAAGUGCGCACUCCGUGGAAGAGGACGUCCGUCCCCCAGAGAAGAGGACCAGUCUUCGAUCAAAGGUAUAGGAGUAGUUGCGCUCCUCUGCUAGACUCUCCAAACAUGCUUUUUUUUUUUUUUUUCUUCUUUUUUUUGAGAUGGAGUCUCAUUCUGUUGCUAGGCUGGAGUGCAAUGGCAUGAUCUCAACUCACUGCAACCUCUGCCUCCCGGGUUCAAACGAU
rnacentral:snRNA from 1 species